CUUCAACGAGCCGAGCCGCAGCGGCUUCUGCGGAUCCCGGCCCUGUCCGUACGUGGCCAGCAGUGCCUGCGCCUC
rnacentral:antisense_RNA from 1 species